GAAAUGCGAUAAGUAAUGUGAAUUGCAGAAUUCAGUGAACCAUCGAAUCUUUGAACGCACAUUGCGCCCCUUGGUAUUCCGAGGGGCAUGCCUGUUCGAGCGUCAUUACACCAUUCAAGCUCUGCUUGGUAUUGGGCUUCAGUCCGGACCGGACGUGCCUGAAAGCUAUCGGCGGUGUCGUCCUGCUUCAAGCGUAGUAAAAUACCUGUCGCUUUGGAAGUUCGGGCGUUGCUCGCCGGUUGAGAUAACCACAUCCUCUUAAGGUUGACCUCGGAUCAGGUAGGGAUACCCGCUGAACUUAA
rnacentral:misc_RNA from 1 species